UACGUAGGUGGCGAGCGUUAUCCGGAUUUAUUGGGCGUAAAGCGUGCGCAGGCGGUUUAUUAAGUCUAAGAUUAAAGCCCGGGGCUCAACUCCGGGACUGCUUUUGAAACUGUAUGGCUAGAUUGCAGGAGAGGCAAGUGGAAUUCCUAGUGUAGCGGUGAAAUGCGUAGAUAUUAGGAGGAACACCAGUGGCGAAGGCGGCUUGCUGGACUGUAAAUGACACUGAGGCUCGAAAGCGUGGGGAGCAAACAGG
rnacentral:rRNA from 1 species